rnacentral:rRNA from 1 species
AGUGAACGCUGGCGGCAGGCCUAAUACAUGCAAGUCGAACGGCAGCACAGUGGAGCUUGCUCCAUGGGUGGCGAGUGGCGGACGGGUGAGGAAUACAUGGGAAUCUGCCCAGUCGUGGGGGAUAACGUAUGGAAACGUACGCUAAUACCGCAUGCGCCCUUCGGGGGAAAGUCGGGGACCGCAAGGCCUGACGCGAUUGGAUGAGCCCAUGUUCGAUUAGCUAGUUGGCGGGUAACGGCCCACCAAGGCGACGAUCGAUAGCUGGUCUGAGAGGAUGAUCAGCCACACUGGAACUGAGACACGGUCCAGACUCCUACGGGAGGCAGCAGUAGGGAAUAUUGGACAAUGGGCGCAAGCCUGAUCCAGCCAUGCCGCGUGAGUGAAGAAGGCCCUCGGGUUGUAAAGCUCUUUGUUGGGUAAGAAAGCAGUUGUAAUACCGAUUGUUCUGACGGUACCCAAAGAAUAAGACACCGGCUAACUUACGUGCCAGCAGCCG